rnacentral:lncRNA from 1 species
UUGAAUUUGCGACGCCGGUUUUGAAUCUGCCGAAUGGUGAUGUAUCAGUGGCUUCCAAGCAUCAAACACCGGGAAGAGAACAAGAAGAGAAUGCAUUUGUUUCCUCCUAAUUUCUCCAGGCUAUGCAAGGAGCGUCUGCAUGGGGGUCUUUCCUUAAGAAAAAUGUGAUGGAAAUCCGCAUCGCUUACCCCACUUGAGGGUCCAAAGAUUUGACCAGAUCGUUGAAAAGCUUGGC